UCUCGAGACGCUCAUACCUGAUAUAGUAUGUACAUAUAAAGCCGAUCGAGCGUUAUUCAGCUGCAGUAAUUUUGCAACGUAAACAUGAAUGUAUCAAAACUGUUCGUCUUUCUGGAUGCUGAUUAUCGCCAGCCUUUUCGGGCAGACGGAAGCAAAAUGGAAAGGAUGGAAGAGGCUUGAAAACGUUGGGAAGAAGGUUUUCGACGCGGGGGUUGUUGUUGCAGUAGCGGCAUCCUCAGGAAGACGGGGUUGAUGGUGGUGUAGUUUACUAUCAGUGAUAUAGCUUACCUACCUAGGUACUAUAACAUCACAAAAUGAACAAAUGCACGAUAUCUGCCUAAUUUUCAAUAAAAUGGCGUAUGAUCAUAUACGAAAGUAGCUUUAUCACUCUUCUGUCCAUGUAUUUACCUCAAAUUGGAAUACGGCAAUAUUUGCUAGAUAUUCAUCAAUGUCGAUUCUGGUGGUGGCGAAAGUUGGUCUUGUAUUCAAAGUUGAGAAUUCCAGCAGGGGUGUACAUUUUGAAGUAGAAGAUCGACGUGUUUUUGCGUUUGCUUCAAAAACUAUUUCCUUACGAGUUAUUAAGUCUGUUUUGUUUUCGUUGGGCCAUCCUGUAGGUAUACACGUUUGCGAAUAAGAAAGUGUGUACAGUGAAACUGCGACAAUUUUAAAGUUAUUUUAAUUAUAACAAAUUAUGAGGUCCGGUAAUCCAGCCAAUAUCAAUGUCCCUCCCUUCCCCCUUACACACUCAUGACAUACACUAGGUAUUAUUUGACGCGCUUUCCCCCACCCUUAUAUAUGUUACCGGUAAAUUGCGAAAUCCGGCAUUUUUCAAAAUGCCUACAGUAGGCAUUUCGCGAAAUGACGAAUGCAACAGUCAAAGUGAGAAACGGAGCUGCAGUUCGCACUUUGCCUGCCUCUCUUUAGGGAUUUCGCGAAAUGCCUAAAGAUGCAGGCAAAGUGCGAAGGCUUCGUCAUUUCCCACAGAUUGGGGAUACAGCGUUGCCAUUGGAUGGUAAACGACGCGUACGAUUGCGAUGUUAUUUAAGUACUCGCCAAAUAUUGCGCUCACGUUUAUACUGCAUUUCAUCUAUCGGUUUUCUGUUGAGUCAACCUUUGGAUUUACUGUGGAGAAUAUAUCAGAUGGGGGAAGGUAGUAACGCGACGGUUUUACGUUUGGCACCGCUGUACGCGCAAUCUGUGGAAAAUAUCCGAGCAUUCUCACUUUGCCUGAACGUUUAGGCAUUUUGCGAAAUCCUUAAAGAGAGGCAGGAGAAGUGCAAACUCGAGUUCCAUUUAACACUUUGCCUGCUGCAUUGGUCAUUUCGCAAAAUGCCUAGGGAUUUUGCAAAAUGCCGGAUUUCGCAGUUUGCCGGUAACAUAUACACCCUUUGGUAAUUUCUGUUGCAGCCGCACCACAGCUUAGUGGCCGCACGAUUGCGUUGACUCUUGCGCAGUGGACACUGUAGUUGAAGUUAUUUUGCCGCACGCAGGUCCUGUGCUUUGCUUUUCUAUUUAUGGAGAGUAGCUUUUUUCCUCAUUUCCUGAUGUGCCAUGUAAAGAACAUGUAGGUAUAAUCUCGGGUAUAAUGGAUGGAGAUGACACACCACUUGUUAAAAUCGAACCAAAACAUGAAGAAGAAAUCCAUUCCUUUCUUCGGGGACACAUUUCAGUAACCAACGAAGUUUUGGUGACAAUAAAGGACGAAGUUAACAUUGGUACAUUUUGUUCUAAAUCUCUUUAUAAUGAAGAAGUCCAGCACCAUUACCUUUUAACUCGGUGUAAAACAGUGUCUAAAGAUUUUAAAUGUGCUGAUUGUGAUUUUGAGACAAAUUAUAAAAGCAAUUUCAAACAACAUCUUUUAAAACAUAAAGGGUCUAAUGAUUUCAAAUGUGGUGACUGCGAUUAUGGGACAAAUGCUAAAGGCAAUUUCAGACGGCAUCUUCUAAAACAUAAAGUUUCCAAGGAUUUUAAAUGUGCUACGUGUGAUUAUGGGACAAAUAAUAAAUACUUCUUCAAACGGCAUCUUUUAAAACAUAAAGUUUCCAAGGAUUUUAAAUGUGCUGAU